GACGAACGCUGGCGGCGUGCUUAACACAUGCAAGUCGAGCGGUAAGGCCCUUUCGGGGGUACACGAGCGGCGAACGGGUGAGUAACACGUGGGUGACCUGCCCUCAGCUCUGGGAUAAGCCUGGGAAACUGGGUCUAAUACUGGAUAUGACUCCACGGUGCAUGUCGUGGGGUGGAAAGCCUUGUGCGGCUGAGGAUGGGCCCGCGGCCUAUCAGCUUGUUGGUGGGGUGANGGCCUACCAAGGCGACGACGGGUAGCCGGCCUGAGAGGGCGACCGGCCACACUGGGACUGAGACACGGCCCAGACUCCUACGGGAGGCAGCAGUGGGGAAUCUUGCGCAAUGGGCGAAAGCCUGACGCAGCGACGCCGCGUGAGGGAUGACAGCCUUCGGGUUGUAAACCUCUUUCAGCUCCGACGAAGCGGAAGUGACGGUAGGAGCAGAAGAAGCACCGGCCAACUACGUGCCAGCCGCCGCAGUAA
rnacentral:rRNA from 1 species